rnacentral:rRNA from 1 species
UACAGAGGUCUCGAGCGUUAGGCGGAAUCACUGGGCCUAAAGCGUGUGUAGGCGGAUCGUUAAGUGCCUUGUGAAAUCCCACGGCUCAACCGUGGAACUGCUUGGCAUACUGGCGGUCUUGAGCAACCUAGGGGCGAGCGGAACAAAUGGUGGAGCGGUGAAAUGCGUAGAUAUCAUUUGGAACGCCAAUGGUGAAAACAGCUCGCUGGGGGUUUGCUGACGCUGAGACACGAAAGCCAGGGGAGCAAACGGG